AUAGCAGCCGCCGGUGGUACGGGUAUCAUUGAUGUUGAUAUAUUCAAGUUAAUCUUGCUGCUAUU
rnacentral:tRNA from 1 species